CACCGCCCGUCACACCAUGGGAGUUUGUUGCACCAGAAGUGGAUAGUCUAACUGCAAAGAGGACGUUCACCACGGUGUGGCCGAUGACUGGGGUG
rnacentral:rRNA from 1 species